rnacentral:rRNA from 1 species
GUAAAAGUCGUAACAAGGUUUCCGUAGGUGAACCUGCGGAAGGAUCAUUGUCGAAACCUGCCUAGCAGAACGACCCGCGAACCAGUUUCUCGACGCACGCCGGGGCGGUGGGGAGCACCCGCCCCUCGCCACCCGGCGAAGAGCCGCGGGGAGGACCCUUGCGGCCCCUCUCCCCGGCCCACGAACAAAACCCCGGCGCGGGACGCGCCAAGGACCAUGAAAAGAAAAGGGAGCACGCCCCCUUGGCCCGGGAACGGGGCGCGGGGCGCGUCUUCUUUCGCCAUGAGCAAAAGAA